GCCAGGGCACACCGCUUCGCUCUGUCGGCGGGGCCGGCCGGGCUCCGCGCUCCCCGGCGGGCAGCGCCGUCUGUAUCCGGGUCAGGCGGAGGCGGGGCCCGCACUGAGCAUGUCCCGCCGCCCACCGACCCCUCGGCGGGCGCGGUGUUGCUCGGGGCCCUCUGCUGCUUGGUGUGGUCUGGUGGGUGUCCCGGCAAGGUGCUGGAGCACCCCUGCGUUUCUUGCCAUGGGCACGCCUGAUAGCGCGCACUGCUUUUCUUCUAAAAUGUGCGGGUUUGAGGAAUUUUAAACUGCUAGUGGAGGAAACCCAGGAGAAGGAAGAAACCUGCACCUUUCCGAACUGGUUUAUCACUCAAUGGAAAGAAAGUAAAAUACUAGGCUUUCAUCCCACUGAGGUUUGCAGAGACCUUACAGAGGCUUAGAAAAAUGAUGGAUUUAUUACUUGCUGCUAACAUUUCUAUGCCUAGUGUAAGACUUGGCAGAUGAAAAGGAGCAGUGGGAAGAGAGGAGGGCGUUAGCUGAAGGACAAAGAGUGUAAAGUUGCAGUGCAUACUGUUCUCAAGUAUUUAUGGGAAACUUUUUGUCUCUGUAGAUAUUAUUAGAAGUUGUGACAAACAUAUUUAUGAAACAUUCCUAAGUAAUGUCCACUCUGUUAAAAAUGCCAUCCUUUUGCUCGUGCUAAUAUUGUUAUUAUAAUGCAUGCCUAAUUAUGGAGCUCUAUUCAGAAUGGUGUUCUUUUGGUUUUGACUAGUAUCGUGUAGGCAGUGCCUUGCUCCCCAUUUCUAAAAGAAAACUGCACUGUCAUGGCGUCUUCACAUCAACAAAAUGUCUGUAAUCAAGGGGUUCUUGCUUGUCUCUCCUUUGCCUCAAGAGUCAAACUGUUGGUUGC